rnacentral:rRNA from 1 species
CCUACGGGUGGCAGCAGUGAGGAAUAUUGGUCAAUGGACGAGAGUCUGAACCAGCCAAGUAGCGUGAAGGAUGACUGCCCUAUGGGUUGUAAACUUCUUUUAUAUGGGAAUAAAACGUUCCACGUGUGGGUUUUUGUAUGUACCAUAUGAAUAAGGAUCGGCUAACUCCGUGCCAGCAGCCGCGGUAAUACGGAGGAUCCGAGCGUUAUCCGGAUUUAUUGGGUUUAAAGGGUGCGCAGGUGGAUUGUCAAGUCAGUUGUGAAAGUUGGCGGCUCAACCGUAAAAUUGCAGUUGAAACUGGCAGUCUUGAGUGCGGGAGAGGUGGGCGGAAUGCGUGGUGUAGCGGUGAAAUGCAUAGAUAUCACGAAGAACUCCGAUUGCGAAGGCAGUUCACUGGACUGCAACUGACGCUGAGGCUCGAAAGUGUGGGUAUCGAACAGGAUUAGAUACCCGUGUAGUC